rnacentral:lncRNA from 1 species
GAAGACGCGCGUCGACGGCGACGACGACGCGUGGGCGAACGCGAGCGAACCUGGAAGCCCGUUCACGGGCGCGCGCGUGGGAAUGCGACGACGGGGGAGCGGGCAGAGCGCGCGAGGGCUGCCGGUGGAUCCGUUUCCGCUGAGCGAGGUGAGUAGGUUCGAGAGGGGGGACAGUCUGCGGGGAGGCGACGGGUUCGGCGAGGCGACGACGACGACGACGGAUGGGCGCGAGACGGUGACCGAAGACGUCAAACGCGCGACGACGGCGACGGUGACGAUGGUGAAGAGCGUGCGGAAGAGCGCGAGGAACGCGGGGAAGUCUGGAACGAGGACGACGGCGGGGAAGAAGGCGUCGGGAAGCGCGAAGAGCGCGGCGCCGAACGCCGGAUUCAAGUCCGCGGCGUUCGGUAAGGUGAACGCGCAACACGGGGCGAACGAUGCGGGCGAUCAUCACGGAUGGACGUACAUUCCUAAACGUGCCGAUCGUCGACGCGCUAUCGCGCGAUUUACGACCGCGAUCAUUCGCGCCGCGGGGCAUCAGAGUUUCAUAAGUCGCGAGGGCGUGGGCUAUCGCAGAGCUUUCGAUAGAUUUCUUUUGGAGACGUACGGGGACACGUUCGCGGAGGGUGGAUACUGGUACAAGAACGCCGAAAUCGAGCCGUUUUUUCGUAUGAUUCUCUUCAUCGCCACGGAAGGGAAGAUGAACAUAGCGAACGACGACGUGAAGUAUUUAUUCACGAAGAAGGAGGAGCGACAGGCGGCGGAGUGGGUGCUCGACGAGGACGUCUUGGCCAGACUCGGACUGACGGCCAAGGAUGUCGCGCUGGUGUACGAGGGUCAACCGAGAAAGACGUCCAAAGGAUUCGUGCGCGGCACGCCUCUGAAGGUCCCGCCUUCGACGCACAUGCCCCCGGAGCCCGCGCCGUCUUUGGAAGCCGUGGUGCGCGCCAAGACGACCAACUCCGCCGCCAUGCCACCGCCACCGCCUCGAGCGCGCACGCCCUCCAUCGUGCAAUCGGCGGCGAUGAGCGAAACCGGCGACGCGGCGAGCUCCAUGAUCGGCGUUCCGAUGGAGAUUCAAAAACUCUUUGAGCAAAUUCCGAAACCAAACAUUCACCCCGGAUUGAGCGCGACGAAAUCGAGACAAAUGUCUCGACAGUACUCGAGCGAUCUCUCUCGGCUGAUGAGCGAAUUCAACACCGAUCCCGCGCAAGGCGAUGAAUUCGUGCGCCAGUAUCUCCAGCGCAGCGCGAGCGAACUCGACGCCAUCGCGGCGAUUCAAGGCAGCGAGAGCAAGGCAAAGUCGCGCGCGGCGGCGGCGGCGAACAAGAAACCCGCGGUCAAGAAAUCGACACCCACUAGCACCACAACCAGCGCGUCUCGCGCGUCUAAACGUAAGCGCUAAUUGAUGACCGAUGCCACACCGUUACUGUAACACCGAUCGAUAAACGAAGACGAAGACUUCGCGCUCGCCCGCUCGCGUCGCGUCACUCGCCGCCUCCCCUUUCCGAUGUCGAUCGCCCCUCGCCUCGACGCGCCCGCGCCGUGUCCUUCGCACCGUUUCGUGCGGUUCACCCACGGCGCGUCCUCGACCGCGCGC